rnacentral:rRNA from 1 species
GACGAACGCUGGCGGCGUGCUUAACACAUGCAAGUCGAACGAAAAGAGGGAAAGAGCUUGCUCUUUCCGGAAUUGAGUGGCAAACGGGUGAGUAACACGUAAACAACCUGCCUUCAGGAUGGGGACAACAGACGGAAACGACUGCUAAUACCGAAUAAGUUCCAAGAGCCGCAUGGCCCAUGGAAGAAAAGGUGGCCUCUACCUGUAAGCUAUCGCCUGAAGAGGGGUUUGCGUCUGAUUAGCUGGUUGGAGGGGUAACGGCCCACCAAGGCGACGAUCAGUAGCCGGUCUGAAAGGAUGAACGGCCACACUGGAACUGAGACACGGUCCAGACUCCUACGGGAGGCAGCAGUGGGGAAUCUUCCGCAAUGGGCGAAAGCCUGACGGAGCAACGCCGCGUGAGUGAUGACGGCCUUCGGGUUGUAAAACUCUGUGAUCCGGGACGAAAAGGCAGAGUGCGAAGAACAAACUGCAUUGACGGUACCGGAAAAGCAAGCCACGGCUAACUACGUG